AAGGGCUCCCACCAAACCCCCCUUUCCCAACCCACUUUUCAAAAUUCCCUGCUGCAUGUGGAUCACGCUUUCGUUCCCACAUGCACAAAUAACAGUCACAACCUGCAAGUAUACAAAUUGAGUUUCCCUUUCCAUCUGCACAAUUCGAGUACUCAAAAAUCAACGUUUAAGGUGUUUGUGUUUUUAAAGAAAUGGUAAUUAGUGACUAGCUCUGUGAGGAAUAUGAUCGAGCAGGUGGUGAUCUACCAUAUUCUGAUCUUGUUCCCCCACAAGUGCUGGUUACUUUAAAUUAACUUCUUACCCUAGAUCCUUAUAUGUUGAAGAACAUAAAAAGUCCACAUCGAACACUUGACGGAGUGGUUUUACUUGUAAUUGCAUUGAAGUCUUUUUCUUUUGUUGAUAAAAUUACCUCACACAUGCUGACGUACGUAGCAGAUGAUUAAAUUAAAGACAACGUUAACGCUUGAUUCAUUAGUAGUGGAUCGAUGAACUCUCUCUUUAAAAGUUUGACAUUCAGCAUGUGGCAAUCUUCCAUGUUUAGAUCUUGUUCCCUACGGGUGCUGCUUACUUUAAUUAAGUUCUUACACCGAGUCCUAGACUCUAUUUUCAUUAGAAUCAUCAUCACAUACACUUUUCUCAUCCAUUUGGGAUCCACAUGUAUUUAGUAGCAAUGUAACAUUAAAAUACCAAUUAAGCAGGAAUCGUAGCUGGGUUUUAAUGGGUUAUCUACCCAGCUAGUGCAAGAGAUCCUCAUAUCACAUGUCAAAAUAACUACCAAGUGAAGAAUUAGUGAAAUUAUGUAUGUUUUUCUUUACCUAAAUAUGUCACUUAUAUAUGCUUUCCUAUAUGCAUAUGUAUCGGAAUUUUAUUUUUCUCAUGUAAUUCAGAAUAUUUUGAAUGCCGUUAAACCAAAUGGUAAGGUGCUUAUGUGUAAAUAAAGAGCCACUAGCUAGAGUACUUUUUUUUACAAAACUGACUUAAUAAGAAAUUCUAGAGUACAUGCAUACAGUGCUAAUGUUGAAUUUAACAAUCAGAUGUCCGUUGAAUUUAAAAGGCAAUGUAGACGGAAUAUUAAUGUAUAGUACAACGACUCCAAUUUUAUUUACCACAUUUAACAACGGUAUAACAUUCUCACUCCACUUAAGUACCACGCGGAUAUUAAUUAGAGUUAAUAUUCUAUGAUAUUAUAAUUGUACGUGUUUGGAAGUAUUUUUUAAAACAACUAAAAGUGCUUUUUAUUCACCAAAAGCGCUUCUAAUAGCAUUUGGUAAAAAAGUUAAAGGUGCUUUGAAGUUCUUUCUAAAGAGGAAGAGUUGUUGUGUACUUUCUUCAAGAAGUACUUGUAUUUUUUGUAAAAAUUUUGAUGUACUCCAAAUAUAUAGAAACCGCUCCUAAGUAUAAAUACUUUUUAAAGAAGUAUUUCCAAAUGGGUCAUCUAAAUAAAUAAUCGUAUAAUAUGUGACACACUUUGGGUGGAAUGAUAAUGCUAGAUCACGACUAAAAGUGAUAAGUACAGGUAUUUCCAAAUAGGCCCUCUAAAUAAAUUAUCGUAUAAAUGCAUGGGCCUUCUGCUUAAUUGAACGUAUCAAUUUGGAUUGACAUACCCCAAUCCGGAAUGUUCACCUGGAUUCCAAAUCGAGCUGUGUUGGUCGACACCGGAAGGUGACGAAGCCAUAAUGUGCACAUGUGAGCGGAAAUGAACCAAUUUCACACGUGAUGUCAGAACAUAAGUAAAGUACAAUAAGGUAGGAUAAGGUUUAUACCGUUGAGAGUAUUUCCAUAACAAUGUUUUGCCAAAAUGUCCUCGCCGCGAAAACUUUGGUACUAAAAUCUGGAGGGGUGAAAAACAAGGAUGAGUGGUUCUAAAAAUAAAGCUUUGUAAAACCUUUUCGAAAAUGUAUAACCCCUCGCCGUAAAACAAGUAUAGUUUCCAAAUAUAUAUACUACGUAUAGUAAGAAAAUACUUACUAUAGCCUGCAAUAUCUCAAGAAUCCAAUACGUCACAAUAUUUUGUAAAUAAACAUCUAAUGUCCGGUAAUCACAUAAUCUCGCAUCAACAACAUAUCAUAUCGAGUGCUCAUUCGACAUAUGCUGACACACGAGUUCAUGAAGAGAUAUUCUAACAUGAACAGGACUUGGUGUAAUAAUGAUAUACCCUCUAGUACUACAAUCACGUGAAGACUGGCGCUAUCCACAUCACAUAAAAGUCCUAAUUGCCUGUAACAAUAUAGGAUAGGACUAGCACCUACAAUGUAUAUGGUGCGAUGUGAACAUACACGUUAAAGAUUGGCCCUAGCCCGACUGAGUACUAACACCGGUGCAGCAACGAUGAGUAGAUAACGUAAAUAAAAUCAUACAUUGGUAAAUCAAUAAUUUACGUCGACAUAAUACUAUUCACUACCGUAAAUAUAAAUAAGGUAUCUCGUAAUAAUAUGCAUACAUGUGCAUCCCGUGGGAUUCAUAAUAAUAUCACAAUUUUCAGCAUUGCGACAAUUCUAAUAACGUCAAUUUAAUUAUGGCAUCACUUUAAUGGCUAAUUAGCCUUAUUUAUACUACUACAUAAUAAAAUCUUGCCUAGAAAAUGCCUUCUAAAAAAAACUAAGAAACAUAAUAGGUUAAGAGAAACUAGGUGACAAUUUCCUGGUCAAACAUGGAGAAAUCUGCCUAACCACAAAAUAUCCACGUUCUGGGUCUUAGACACCUCCAUAACCAGCCCAAGAUGACUCUUUUUAAAGCUUAAAUGACCUGAACAUAUUUCUAGAAGGGCUUAUUGUCAAAAGUCACCAUCUUGGAUGCCCAAAAAAAAAGGUCACUCUAACAGCACUGCGAGCAGCUUCUUUUAUUUUAUCGUCAUAAAUUAACCGCUUGGUAGAAAAAUCUAAAACUUUGACACUAACAAGCUGAGAGACUUACGAACAUUCUUCAAUUGGAGUCACUCCAAAAUUUAUUCGUUUGAUCACUUUUGUUGAAGAAGAAGUCGAAUGUCUUACAUUGAAAAUAUAAAUUAAAGUAUCAAAAUCUCACCAAAAUAAAUACCACAUACUAAGAAUAAGGUUAAUAUAUAGUAUAAUAUCGACUCGUCACGGUUACAUUAUAAAAAUCCUUGUAAAUAUCCUGUAAAGAGAAACAUAUUCUCAAUGAAGGGUGGUCUUAAAGAUUCAUAUACCAUACAUAACCGAUGGGUGAUACUAAAGUUAGAAACUUUUGAUUAAGGGUAGUGCUAUGCACACGCUCAUUUUUACUUCUCACACACUCUUCUUAAUGUUUGACCAUCAAAUCGAAUGAACUGAAGAAGAUCAAUGACAAAAAAUUAACAAGAGUGUGUAGGAGAUAAAGAUGAGUGUGUGAAUAACACUGUUUUGGAUUAAACACCUUGGCUUUUUUUUUUUUUUUUUUUUUUUGAAAAAAAUAAUAGUUGGCUUAUUUUAUAUUUGUUUGGAUUAGGUAAAAAGUUUAUUAGCUAGGCUGCAAAUCUUUGACAAAUAAACAAAGGGCCACAAAUCAAGUUGUUCGGGUGCUAAAUUACUAAUGGGUAUUUGGCAGAUCAUAGUGCUAUGUUAAUCAACCGAUUACAUAUAUAUAGAUACCACAUAAUUAAACAUGAAUAGAUAGGGAAGGAGAGCUAUGGCCUUUAGCUAUAGACAGGGGCCAUAUAGGCCAUAUGCCAUAUGUAAUGUAAUGAAGAGGAAAGCGACUCAACAGCCUGAGAGAGACCGAGAGCCCAACGGUUUCUCAGAAAAGGCAGGCUGAGGGUGGGAAAGAGAGACAUAAGGAGGGGCAUGAAUGGAUAGUAUUAUUAUCAGUAGCUAGCUAGUAUAUAUAGACCAUUAGAGUGGGGUUAAAAAUAAACAUGCUCUGUAGGAGGAGAAAGGGAAAGAGAUGAAAGAAAAGGAAUGGUGGUUCUGAUCAGCACAGCAAUAUUAUGCUUCUGCUUUCUGCUUUUUCUUCCUUCUGCUUCUGCUGGUGCUUGAAAGUUGAUGCUUGUUAAUCUCCUUAGUAUAUAAUCUUGUGCUGUUUUAGGGUUGUAGCUGUGGUGCCGGCAAGUGAUGAAUGCAGCCCCCACGAUACUACUGCUUUUUACACAUUUCUAAAGGAAUUAUUUGGGUAAUCUCGCCUUUCCCAUUCACUUGAGGCUCUUUGGUUGAUUCUCGAUCGGUUGUGUCCCCCUUGCCUUAUAUCAUGGUCCCACUUUACCCACAUAUGGUGUCUCGCAUUAACCUAUAUAUACCUAUAUAUAUUAUGUGUUAUUUGAUUAUUUACAAUGUUAAUACAGCUAGCUAGCAUCCUCCUCCUACAUAUAAUAGCAUCCUCUAUAUAGACCUAGCGUCCUUUGUGUGCGUGUCUAUAUAUAUAUACCGUUAAAUUGGUUUUAAUGAAAUUGUGUGGUUAAGAUUAAAACACAGGCCACACAAUCUCAACCAUACAAUUUCAUUAAAGUUAAAUCCAAUGAUGGGGAGCGUGUCCUCAUUUAAAAAAAAAAAAUGAGGAUCCCUCCGUGUGUAUAUAUAUAUAUAUAUAUAUAUAGACCUACUUGAUUGACUCGUGGGCUUGCCAUUGUCAUCAUAGUCAUAUGGAAUAUAGAAGUGCAUGCUGCUUUCUAUAUAGUUUGUGGCAGGUAAAUUAAGGAUCAAUUUGAUAAUCAUUUCGUUUUUAUUUUUUUAUUUUUACUUUUUAUAAGACUGAGAACUAAAAUCUUGUUUAGUAACUUUUAAGUUUUGAACUCAAAGCCAAAUUUUGAAAACUCAUGGAAGUAGUUUUUAUGAUUGGUUUUUAGUUUUCAGUUUCAAAACUAAAAGUGGUUAGCAAACAAAGUUUCAGUUUUCAAAAUAUAGGACAAUUAGUUAUGGUUUUGGAAUUUGGCAAGGUGCAUGGCAGUAUAUGUCUGUGAGGAGAUGGAGGAAGAGGAUGAGAGGAGAGGAGGAGGGUGGGGGACAAAAUGCCAGCACCAGAAUAAUGAUGGUGUGGAAGGUAAUAGCCAACUGUAUGUAUGUAAGGUAGUCAGAGUGUUUUGCGAUUCUGGUUCGGUUAGAGAGAGAGAGAGAGAGAGAGAGAGAGAGAGAGAGAGAGAGAGCUUGUUGCACGCAUGUGGUCCUAAAAACCCUAGGGCUUAGCUCAUGGCCCUUGAUCGAGCUAGCUAGCUGUAGCUAUCGGUAGAUGAUCCAUGACAGAAAAGUUGUAUACAUAUACACAGUAGUACUUUGCCCUAAUUAUCAUAUAAUAAGAAAAGUCCAAAAGAUAUAGUGAAAGAAGGGAGAGAAAGCAGCAAGGAGUAGCAUGCCUACCGCAGGAUGUGCACUCAUAAAUGAAUAAACUAAAAAAAGAAGAGAGAGAGAGGUCCCGACCCAUUAGGAUUAGGGCUUCUGGGGUGGGAGGGGGGGGGGGGGGGCGGCAGUGAGUGAGCGAGCGAUGACGAUGCACCAUCCCCCACCCUCUGUCUCUGGAGCUUAAUUUAAUUUGAUGUAUACCGGUGACAAUUCAUCGGAAAUUCUCGGUAAAAGUUGCUUACCAACUGUUUCGGUGCAAAUAUAUAUACGACAGAAAUCAAAAGAGGUGUAGAAGCUAAAAAGAAUGUCUAAAAAGCACCUCCAUUUGAACCAGGAUCAAGGGCACAAGAGUUAAAAUGUAUUUAACUAAUUGAGCUACAAAUUUUUUACAACAAUAUUUCUUAAUUAUUUAAUAUGCUUGUAUCACUUAGAACUACACUCUCGUACUAUUCCUCUCAAUUUGUAAAUGAGAGUUUUUAGAUUUGAUUCACAUAAAUGACAAUUUCAAUAUCAAAUUAUUAUACCUCACCCCAUUCUAUAUGGUUUAAUGCAAGUGUCUUAUCCUUUAAUAUAAUUCAGCAUUACAUUCAAAACAUGCGUGUAUCGGGACUUUGUAUUCACCUUUUCUUAUUGAAAAAGAUAGAUUUUUAUCCCAAAAUAUUCAACUCAAACACGAUGAUGAGAAACCUUUUAAUGUAACAGACAUGUGUAUUAAACUUCACGUGUUAUAAUAUAAUACGGGUAGACGAUAUAAUUGAUAUGUAAUAGAUCUAGACUAUAAUAUUUGUAGAUUGAUACACAUAUAUAUUACUAGAUAAAUGAAUUUAUAACACCACAUGAUAGUGUGACAUAUGCCUUAAAAAUGAGAAAUGCUAAGGAAACUCUCUUAAAGGUGGGACUUUCUAUGAACUCUCUGUCACCUCAUGUUUUUGGCACAAUAUUUUAUAUUGUUGACAUAUAAAUUAUGCCAAAAACAUAAAAUAGUGAAGAGUCCAUGAAAAAUUUCGCUUUAACAUUCUUCUUAGCAUGAAUGAUUAGUGUGCAAUUACUUCAACCCAAACAAUGGUUGAACAAAUUAACAUAGGCAUGCAUAAAAAUUCUAAGAAGUGGGGCUGGUGAUUAUAAAUGAGAGUAGGAAGUGAAAGAAGAAAUUUGGAAAACCGAUUUCAAGACCAAAAAAGUUAAUAUAAAUGUGGCACCCCUAAAAUUUUGUCCAAGCCCUAACGUUGAAGAUAAUACUGGACCACAAUAAUCAAAUAUGGGCUCGUACAUUCACAAAUAAUAUACCAAAAUAUUAUCUUCCCAAUGGACAAAUAUUUUUUUUUUAGUAUAUCGAUAUUUUACAGUAAGAAGAGGAGGAGUUCAACAAAAUCACACAAUGAAGCAACCUAAUUUGGUAUCGAAUUCACCAUCUAUGAGAUUCAAACGUAAGACCUCUCACUUUCAAGUGAAGAGGAAUACCACCAGACUGUAGUACUGAGUGACCAAUGUACAAAUAUUAUUCGAAGCAAUACAUUUUCUUUGUCAUGGUGUACAGUAUAUCAUAUAUAUAUAUAUAUAUAGAUAUAUAUAUCUAUAUAUCUAUAUAUCUAUAUAUAUCUAUAUAUAUCUAUAGAUAUAUAUAUAUAGGAAAUCUUUUAAGGGAAGGGAUCUUUAUUUGUUUUUGUAAAAAUGGAGAUUAGUUAUGGGGUUCACAUUACAUUGAACUUUAACGAUCUGAACCGUUUCUUUUUCAAGUUGCACCUCAUAAAUCAUCCUUGCAAAUGGUUUCAGAUUGAAUUGAAUUUUUGCAAGGAUGAUCUAUGAAUUGAGACUUACAAAAUAGACAAACUGACAUGCCCAAUCCUGAUAUUCCCCGAACAUCAAGGUAGGCACAUGCUGGCCGACACCCGAAUGUGAUGAAGCCAUAUUAGAAUGCAAGAGAACAAGAAAUAAAUAAGACUUAUAAAUUUAAAUUUAAUAAAUAUGCAUUUAAGGAACGUGUUCAAAGUAUACAACUAAUCUAGAACACUAAAAAAAAUAAUAUAAAAUUGAAUGAAUAAAGGAGUGAGUCCUACACCUUGAGGACUCAAAGAUGCCGAUGCGGAAGUGUCUUGACGCCGGGAUCGUAUGCCUCGAUUUUAAGUCCUGAGGGGGCACAAAACAAACAUGAGUGGACCAAGUUGAUAUAUAUAUAUAUAUAUAUAUAUAUAAUACUGAAAUAGUUAUCAACAUACUAACCCCCAAAGUUUAAUGAAAACUCAAUAGCAUAAUAUGUAGUAGGUUUUCCGAAAACACUAUCAUGCCAUAAAACCUUUCAUGAAACAUAUCUCAUAUAUAAUGUGCUAGCUAGUGAUAUCAAUAUUAGUAUCUCUCGGCCCAAAGCCAUCAAUGUAUACCUCUUACCAGCCAUAUAUCUCCCUCAACCAUAUAUCUCCCUCAGCUAGAUAUCUCUCUCACCCGUAGGCAGAACCAUGACCACUAGAUAUGCACAAAACCACUGAACAUAGAUUUUCCAAACACAGGUAUAUAUAUAUAUCUCAAAAAACAUCUUCAUAGUAUAAAGUCAUCCAUCAUCUAUACUACAAAGAACAUGAGUUCGAUAAAAUAUGGUAAUUGAAAAUAUUCUCAAUAAGCAUAAUAUCUCAUAAAACGUUUCAUAAAACGUACUCAUUAAAUCAUGCUUUUCAUGUAUGCAUUUCUACUAUUAAAGCAUGCAUUUUAGAAAGGGUCCACUCACAGAUACUCCGUCGUCAAAGAGCCGUGCGAAAUAGGAAGAACAUAAUCGUCGCUAAUAAUCGCACCUGAGCACAUAAAGGGUCCAAUUAAUAAAACUCUAUUCAAACAAAUGAACUUAGGAAAACGGACGUCAAAAAUGGAUUCAGGAUGUCAAAUUACCCUAAGAAGGGUUCCGGGUAAAUUUUAAAAAAGUCAACAAAAAGUCUACAUGAGAAUAUUCCAGGAAUAUUCCCUAACAAAAUAUUCCAUUUGGGUUGGGCUGGUCCAGCCGAUUCUGGGCCUAGACUUUGGGUUGGUUCCUCAAUUAGGUUUUGGGUUUUGUAAGGGCUUGGGCUCAACAACCCUACCUAGGGACAAUGGGUUUGAACUAUGGGCUAAGGGACUUGGGUUUUAGGUUUAGGGUUUUGGGCUUGGGUUAACUAAGGCCCAAGGUUUAGGCUGGCUACACCAGGCCUGUUUAAAAUAAGGUUUUGGUUGCUUGGUCCACAUUUUCAGGGCUGGGUUUUAAGGGCCAACGACCUAGGUAAAGGGACAAAAGCCUGUUUGUUAAGUGGGUUGCCGGACCACAAGAAGAAGAAGGCCAGAAUACGAUCAGGAACUUCCCUAGCUUUGACGAAGCUCGAAACAUGACAAAAAAUCACUAUUUUAGAACCAAAAUAAAGGUAAGAAGACGUAGGUUUGAAAACUACCAAAAGGAGGCCGUGAUACGGCCAGAGUUGGCCAUAAAUCCACACGAGAGUCGCCGGGAUCUGGAAAAUCAAUCUUCAAUAUCUCUCUGUAGUUUCAUCAACCAAAAUUUACAAGAAUGUGAUAAAAAAACCAUCACAAGAAUAAAAGAGAGGGUUUAGCAUGUCUUAAGGCUUACCUAGUCGAAAAACCCGAGAACUCACCGAAUAACUCACAACA
rnacentral:lncRNA from 1 species